rfam:Cajanus cajan CcLG03_1508, whole genome shotgun sequence.
UUGGAGGCAAUGAUGAUUAGAACUACCUAUUUUAUGAGGGAAUAGAGAAUUUUCCCUUAUGAUUAUAAAACUACCAAUGGAUCCUUCUGAGCCUUCCA